AGGUAGAGGGGUUUUAGUCGAUAGGUCCGAGGACUUCUUCCUCGGGAAUCCGACACUACCCAGUCGUACGGACGGCUGGGUGUCUUUUGAAGAUUUCCCCUCUUCC
rfam:Agrilus planipennis Contig69135, whole genome shotgun sequence.